CUUCUAAGAUGUCGGAUCCCUGUGUAAGGAAUAGGAUUGUCAGCCUUGGUACCAACCUUGUCCCAGAACCUGAAACCGCCCCUGACCUGGUCUCUGGCUCCCGGGGAGCCGGUAAUGAGAGGAGCCCAGCAAAGAAGCCGGGUCCCUGGGGUCUCUACAGUGGAAACCGGAAACAGCCACCGGGUGACGUCAGGAUGGAGGACACCUGUCCCAGCCUCUCCUGGGAGGAAGCCACAAGCCGGCCAUGGCCACAGCCGGAGAGGGGAGAUGCCCGAAGGCCACCACACGAAAGAAGGUGCUGGAAGGUGCGGCCUUCGCCUGAGCCAUCCAGUUUCCUUGUGCACGUGAACGUGGAGAUCAGUUGGGGGCCAGGAGAUGUGACGGUGUGACCAUCACCGUUCUGCCCAAUGUAACCUGAGAGACUGAAUAAACUGAGGCACAAACCUAUUGCAACUUAAAUGUCAGAGGGCACUGCCUGCCCUCACGCCAGCAGCAGCAGCAGCAGCAGCAGCAGCAA